GUGUCCUGACCUCAUCCUGGCUGUUCCCCUCACCAGAGCUGUGGUGGUGGGGUCUGGGGGUGGACACAGAUCAACUUACCUCUCGUGUUAGGAGGGCUGCCCAAGACAUAUGCGAGCCCUUAAAGGCAAGAGAGGACACU
rnacentral:snoRNA from 1 species